GUGACAGAGAGACCCUGUCUCAAUAAAAAGAGCUUAAAGAUUUGCCUAAGGGUCCCAAGUAACAGUGGCAGAAUUGUGGUUGGAAACCACUGAAUUGGAAUCACUGGAAGGCAAAGCUUUGGCAUCUCUAGAAAAAUCCCUACAAACAAUUCUCAUUUGCAGUCAGAAUUAAGAACCACCAACCUAGGCUUUCUGCCUAAGCCAGUGCUGUGUCCAGAGUAAGCACUGUCCCUCAGAAAGCCAUGAGAAUUACACGCUGCUUAGUGUAUGCUUAAAGUUGUAAGCUUUUGGAAAGCGAGGCCAGUUUGAGGUAAAUUUGGAGACAGAGAUAUUUUAGGACAGCCUCACCAAGUAUAUUCCAUUAGGAAAGGUGAGAACCCUGGGAGAGUCUGAAGGGUCCAAGGUCACACCAGGAGAAAAGGGAUGGCAUGUACCUAAGGAAGAGGGAACCCCCGCACUCCUCAUCUCGGGAACUUCUAUGGCCUUCUUGAAGGCUUGCAAAAGAGCAGAGAAUAAGAGGUGUCUCCGGAGGCCCAGAGAGUACUAGGGGGAAGCUCUAGGUAUGCACACAAAUCUGGCAAGUUACAGUUUUGCCCACUAUCAUUGCCAAGUCCUUGUGCCUCAGUGGCUUGGUGGGGACUCUUUCUUAUUGGUUGCUUCUAGGAACUCCACCCAGCUUCAGCAGGGGACACACUUCCCUCUACACUUCCUGUCACUCCUUUUGCCCACUUAGGUAAUGGAAACUUGUUUUUAGGGAGCAGCCAGCUCAGACACAUGGUCCCUGUGUACUUGAACAGCCAUGGAAAAGCUGCAAGGCAGCUUGGCGCUCACUGGCAAUAAUUCCUUCAUCUUAUCUCAACAAAUCAGAUUCUCAAGACCAGCUGCUCCCCAGACUUGCUUAUUCUUUGUUCUAAGAAGACAGUUCCCAAUGGAUGUGCCCCUGUGAAAACACCCUGGUAAACAUUUGCUUUGUUAUUGAAAUUUCACUCUAAAAUCCCAAAGCUAGGCCAAGCCCCAUUACUAGUUUUACUGAUGAAGAAAUCAAGGCAUUUUUAAAAGAGUAACUUGUUGAGUUGGCGGGUGCUUGGAAGAAGUGGCUUAGGGUCUUUUCAAUUUCUGUGGCUUCCAGGGGUGGGCCUCUGAGAUGGCCCUUAGCAGACGUCCUGCGAUGCACUGCAUGGCUCUUGUUGAAAGUAUCAGGGGUGGCCUGCCUGCGUCUGGAACCACAGCAGCUUCAACUUCCUCCACACUUCCUUCUAUGGGAAGGUGACCAGCACAAACCCGCUCUGAAAAGUCUUGGGGACCAAAUCUCUCUCUGAGAGGGAGGUAGGCGCAGUUCAUCCACUAAGUUUGCCCACCUGUUCUGUGACUCCUCUUCACCAUUCUCCCAGCAACGACUGAGCCUCAUGACUUGGGGGCUGGGGGAUGAGGUGGAGGUGGGGGAUAUAAUAUAGGAGAUGGUACAAUGCAGGGGCAGUGGCUGGUGUGUUCUCCAGGACAAGUGGCACCACGCACUGAAAGACUUUUCAAGAUAAACACAACUUUGUCUCUUCAGCCUGGCAAGAGCUGAGGCACUGAAAACUAUUUUUUUCCCCUAGAAAAUGACACACUCUGCUCCUACGGGUCCCUUUGAUUUUGUCCUGGUGGAAAGCAACAUAGAGAAGAACGUGAACAGGAAUACGUAUAUUUCAGUUGUCAUCUGAGUCCUGUGGACAGGAGGCUCAAUUCUCUUCUUCAUCUUUCAGAUCUCCGCAGACCCUGCCCUCUCACUGUACAAUUCAGAGAUUGACACUCAGCAGGCAUUCAAUAAAUGUCUGUGUCAAGUGAGAACAAUUUGAUGGGGCAAGUAGGAGUCAAUCCUGCAUCCCUCCCUCCCUUUUUUUCCUCUCCAUUCGACCUUUAGGGCUCUGGUUUCCUGUAAGCAGUGAAUUAUUUACCUCUGCUCAUAGAUAUCAAAUUGGCCCUUCCCAGGUUGCAGCAGGGUGGGGCGGGAGGCGGCUUUGUUCAGUCUGUUAAUAGGAGGAGCAACCUCCUUGUUCAAACAGCACUUACAGGUGGGGGCCUGUUUUUGCUAAGUCAUCCUGGGGAUGCUCAAAGCUCCGUUGUUAGAUCCUUUCUGUCCUCCUUCCUGGCUCCUCCUUCCUCCCCACCCCUCGAAUAGGCUCAUAAGUGGGCUCAGGCCUCUCUGCGGGGCUCACUCUGCGCUUCACCAUGGCUUUCAUUGCCAAGUCCUUCUAUGACCUCAGUGCAAUCAGCCUGGAUGGGGAGAAGGUAGAUUUCAAUACGUUCCGGGGCAGGGCCGUGCUGAUUGAGAAUGUGGCUUCGCUCUGAGGCACAACCACCCGGGACUUCACCCAGCUCAACGAGCUGCAAUGCCGCUUUCCCAGGCGCCUGGUGGUCCUUGGCUUCCCCUGCAACCAAUUUGGACAUCAGAACUGCUCAGGGUAGACUGGAGACAAAAGCAACAGCUCAGAAGAGCUAAAUCGUGAAGAGCAGCUAAAGCAUGGGCAACAAAGUGAGACCCCAUCUCUAUAAAAAAAAAAAUUAGCCGGGCAUGGUGGCCUGUGUCUGUAGUCUGAGCUACUAAAGAGGCUGAGGCAGGAGGAAUGCUUGAGCCCAGAAGUUCAAGGCUGCAGAGAACUGUCAGAAUGAGGAGAUCCUGAACAGUCUCAAGUAUGUCCGUCCUGGGGGUGGAUACCAGCCCACCUUCACCCUUGUCCAAAAAUGUGAGGUGAAUGGGCAGAACGAGCAUCCUGUCUUCGCCUACCUGAAGGACAAGCUCCCCUACCCUUAUGAUGACCCAUUUUCCCUCAUGACCGAUCCCAAGCUCAUCAUUUGGAGCCCUGUGCGCCGCUCAGAUGUGGCCUGGAACUUUGAGAAGUUCCUCAUAGGGCCGGAAGGAGAGCCCUUCCGACGCUACAGCCGCACCUUCCCAACCAUCAACAUUGAGCCUGACAUCAAGCGCCUCCUUAAAGUUGCCAUAUAGACGUGAGCUGCUCAGCACACAGAUCUCCUACUCCAUCCAGUCCUGAGGAGCCUUAGGAUGCAGCAUGCCCUCAGGAGACACUGCUGGACCUCAGCAUUCCCUUGAUAUCAGUCCCCUUCACUGCAGAGCCUUGCCUUUCCCCUCUGCCUGUUUCCUUUUCCUCUCCCAACCCUCUGGUUGGUGAUUCAACUUGGGCUCCAAGACUUGGGUAAGCUCUGGGCCUUCACAGAAUGAUGGCACCUUCCUAAACCCUCAUGGGUGGUGUCUGAGAGGGGUGAAGGGCCUGGAGCCACCCUGCUAGAAGAGACCAAUAAAGGGCAGGUGUGGAAACGGCCA